UAGGGAAUCUUCCACAAUGGACGAAAGUCUGAUGGAGCAACGCCGCGUGAGUGAAGAAGGGUUUCGGCUCGUAAACUCUGUUGUUAAAGAAGAACAUAUCUGAGAGUAACUGUUCAGGUAUUGACGGUAUUUAACCAGAAAGCCACGGCUAACUACGUGCCAU
rnacentral:rRNA from 1 species